GAUUGAACGCUGGCGGUAUGCUUAACACAUGCAAGUCGAACGGAAACGAUACUAGCUUGCUAGUAGGCGUCGAGUGGCGGACGGGUGAGUAACGCGUAGGAAUCUGCCUGAUAGUGGGGGAUAGCCCGAAGAAAUUCGGAUUAAUACCGCAUAAUCUAUUCGUAGUAAAGUGGGGGACUUUCGAGCCUCACGCUAUCAGAUGAGCCUGCGUAAGAUUAGCUUGUUGGUAGGGUAAAAGCCUACCAAGGCGACGAUCUUUAGCUGGUCUGAGAGGAUGAUCAGCCACAUCGGGACUGAGACACGGCCCGAACUCCUACGGGAGACAGCAGUGGGGAAUAUUGGACAAUGGGGGCAACCCUGAUCCAGCAAUACCGCGUGUGUGAAGAAGGCCUGAGGGUUGUAAAGCACUUUCAAUUGUGAAGAAAAGUUAGCGGUUAAUAACCGUUAGCCUUGACGUUAACUUUAGAAGAAGCACCGGCUAACUCCGUGCCAGCAGCCGCGGGUAAUACGGAGGGUGCAAGCGUUAAUCGGAAUUACUGGGCGUAAAGCGUGCGUAGGCGGUUUAUUAAGUCAGAUGUGAAAGCCCCGGGCUUAACCUGGGAACUGCAUUUGAAACUGGUCAACUAGAGUAUGGUAGAGGAAAGUGGAAUUUUCUGGUGUAGCGGUGAAAUGCGUAGAUAUCAGAAAGGAACAUCAAUGGCGAAGGCAGCUUUCUGGGACCAAUACUGACGCUGAGGUACCGAAAGCGUGGGUAGCAAACAGGAUUAGAUACCCUGGUAGUCCACGCCGUAAACGAUGAUAACUAGCCCGUUGGGGGGAUUUACCCUUUAGUGGCGAAGCUAACGCGUUAAGUUAUCCGCCUGGGGAGUACGGCCGCAAGGUUAAAACUCAAAGGAAUUGACGGGGACCCGCACAAGCGGUGGAGCAUGUGGUUUAAUUCGAUGCAACGCGAAGAACCUUACCUGGUCUUGACAUCCUGCGAACUUUCUAGAAAUAGAUUGGUGCCUUCGGGAACGCAGUGACAGGUGCUGCAUGGCUGUCGUCAGCUCGUGUCGUGAGAUGUUGGGUUAAGUCCCGUAACGAGCGCAACCCCUAUCCUUAUUUGCCAGCACAUCAUGGUGGGAACUAUAAGGAGACUGCCGGUGAUAAACCGGAGGAAGGCGGGGACGACGUCAAGUCAUCAUGGCCCUUACGACCAGGGCUACACACGUGCUACAAUGGGAAGGACAAAGAGCCGCGAAGCCGCGAGGUGUAGCUAAUCUCAUAAACCUUUUCGUAGUCCGGAUUGGAGUCUGCAACUCGACUCCAUGAAGUCGGAAUCGCUAGUAAUCGUAGAUCAGAAUGCUACGGUGAAUACGUUCCCGGGUCUUGUACAC
rnacentral:rRNA from 1 species